rnacentral:rRNA from 1 species
UACGUAGGGUGCAAGCGUUUAAUCGGAAUUACUGGGCGUAAAGCGUGCGCAGGCGGUUUUGUAAGUCAGAUGUGAAAUCCCCGGGCUCAACCUGGGAACUGCGUUUGAAACUACAAGGCUAGAGUGUAGCAGAGGGGGGUAGAAUUCCACGUGUAGCAGUGAAAUGCGUAGAGAUCGGGAGGAACACCAGUGGCGAAGGCGGCUACCUGGACCAGCACUGACACUGAGGCACGAAAGCGUGGGGAGCAAACAGG